rnacentral:rRNA from 1 species
UACAGAGGUCUCAAGCGUUGUUCGGAUUCAUUGGGCGUAAAGCGCGUGUAGGCGGCUUGGCAAGUCCGCUGUGAAAACUCGAGGCUCAACCUCGAGAUGUCGGUGGAAACUGCCUGGCUAGAGUCCGGAAGAGGAGUGUGGAAUUCCUGGUGUAGCGGUGAAAUGCGCAGAUAUCAGGAAGAACACCUAUGGCGAAGGCAGCACUCUGGGACGGUACUGACGCUGAGACGCGAAAGCGUGGGGAGCGAACAGG